CGCCGCGUGCCGGCCGGG
rnacentral:snRNA from 1 species